GUCGAGAAUUUUUCACAAUGGGCGCAAGCCUGAUGGAGCGACGCCGCGUGGGGGAUGAAGGGCUUCGGCUCGUAAACCCCUGUCAUUCGCGAACAAAGAUGCCGACCUAAUACGUCGUCGUCCGAUAGUAGCGGAAGAGGAAGGGACGGCUAACUCUGUGCCAGCAGCCGCGGUAAUACAGAGGUCCCGAGCGUUGUUCGGAUUUACUGGGCGUAAAGGGUGCGUAGGUGGCGAAUUAAGUCGGGUGUGAAAUCUCCGGGCUCAACCCGGAGACUGCGCCCGAUACUGGUUCGCUCGAGGAUGGGAGGGGAGACUGGAAUUCUCGGUGUAGCAGUGAAAUGCGUAGAUAUCGAGAGGAACACCGGUGGCGAAGGCGAGUCUCUGGACCAUUCCUGACACUGAGGCACGAAAGCCGGGGGAGCAAACAGGAUUAGAUACCCGAGUAGUCC
rnacentral:rRNA from 1 species